AUUGAACGCUGGCGGCAGGCCUAACACAUGCAAGUCGAACGAGUGGCGGACGGGUGAGUAAUGUCUGGGAAACUGCCUGAUGGAGGGGGAUAACUACUGGAAACGGUAGCUAAUACCGCAUACCAUCAGAUGUGCCCAGAUGGGAUUAGCUUGUUGGUGGGGUAACGGCUCACCAAGGCGCCGAUCCCUAGCUGGUCUGAGAGGAUGACCAGGCACGCUGGAACUGACAUACGGGUCGUACACAUACGGGACGCAGCAGUGGGGAAUGUUGCACAAUGGGCGCAAGCUUGAUGCAGACAUGCCGCGUGUAUGAAGAAGGCCAUCGGGUUGUAAAGUACUUUCAGCGGGGAGGCGUUACCAGCAGAAGAAGCACCGGCUAACACCGUGCCAGCAGCCGCGGUAAUUC
rnacentral:rRNA from 1 species